CGUCCAGUGUCUUGUGCUCGUGCCCCUUCAACCUUCCUGCUAUAGAAUGUGAUUCUAUGAGAUAACAGGCCCCACCAAAAUCGUCAGCACCAGGCCCAAGAAGACCUUAAUCUGGCACUGCAGGAGACAGGGAACCAAGGUAUCCCGUGUCUUAACUUGUUAGCCACCAGUCGCCUCAAGACCGGCCCUUUGCGCCAUGAGAUCCAGUCAGAGCAGGGGCCAAGGCAGAGAAGGGAUGUGGCAGCUGUCUGACAAGAGGAAGGAGUGGAGGAGAGUGCGGCGGUGGCCAAUAUAUAAAAGGCUUUGCAGGCUGCAGCUUUCACAGAGCUCCGUGUCUACGCUGCUACUCAGUCAUAUCACCCACCGCAGUUUCUCGUAUUCAGUGCAAUUUCUGUUAAUCUCUGUAAAAUUGACACAAAACCCACAAAUUUUCUUUCAUCAUUCAGAUAGAUAAUGCAAUUUAAACAACUUCCCAAUUUACUUAUAUUACCUAUUUUGCUUUGUUAUCGUUGUAUCCUUUGUUAAAAAAAAAAACAUACGUAGGUAGGCUCAGGAGCAGCAAUGCACUACUGGGAGCUAGCUGCUGAUUGGUGGCUACACAUAUAUGUCUCUUGCUAUUAGCUCAUGUGAUGUGUUCAGCUAGCUCUCAGUAGUGCAUUGCUGCUCCUUCAACAAAUGAUACUAAGUGAAUGAAGCACAUUUGAUAAAAGAAGUUUACUGGAAAGUUAUUUAAAAUUGAAUGUUCUUUCUGAAUCAUGGAAGACAACAUUUGGGUUUCAUGUCCCUUUAAAAUUGUGUUAAUCUGAGCAUCAGUUCCUUAAAGGGACACUGAACCCAAAUUUUUUCUUUCACAAUUCAGAUAGAGCAUGACAUUUUAAGCAAUUUUCUAAUUUAUUCCUAGUAUCAAAUUUUCUUCAUUCUCUUGGUAUCUUUAUUUGAAAUGCAAGAAUGUAAGUUUAGAUGAAGGCCCAUUUUUGGUGAACAACCUGGGUUGUUCUUGUUGAUUGGUGGAUAAAUUCAUCCACCAAUAAAAAAGUGCUGUCCAGAGGUCUGAACCAAAAAAAAAAAUACUUAGCUGCCUUCUUUUUCAAAUAAAGAUAGCAAGAGAACGA